rnacentral:rRNA from 1 species
CGUCAGCUCGUGUCGUGAGAUGUUCGGGUUAAGUCCCGCAACGAGCGCAACCCCUAUCUUUAAUUGCCAUCAUUCAGUUGGGCACUUUAAAGAGACUGCCGGUGUUAAACCGGAGGAAGGUGGGGAUGACGUCAAGUCCUCAUGGCCCUUAUGGGUAGGGCUUCACACGUCAUACAAUGGUCGGUACAGAGGGUUGCCAAGCCGCGAGGUGGAGCCAAUCCCUUAAAGCCGAUCGUAGUCCGGAUCGUAGUCUGCAACUCGACUACGUGAAGUCGGAAUCGCUAGUAAUCGCAGAUCAGCAUGCUGCGGUGAAUACGUUCCCGGGUCUU